rnacentral:tRNA from 1 species
GGGGGUGUAGCUCAGAUGGUAGAGCGCUCGCUUAGCAUGCGAGAAUUUACGGGGAUCGAUACCCCGCACCUCCA